GGGUCUAUGGGACAGGCGCAGCAGGGGGCUGACAACACCUAGGAUGGAGCAGGGCUUGGAAAUUCGGGGAGCAGGGAGCAAUGGCAGCUCCCACUCCUUUGCCACCAAACUGCCGAACCCAGGGGGCCAGGGCCAUGACUCUGCCGGGGCCGGAUGCCAGCCCCGCCUGGAAUGGACUAGCUGAAGCAGAGAUGCUCCCCCUAUUAUUAGUGCUGUCGUAUACACUGCCUGAUGACCAUCCUCUCUGAGAAUUGCCCGCAUUUGCGUGAUGCCAAAGGCGCAAAACUAUAUACAUAGCAGUGGGAAAUACUGAUUCAAGACCAUCCAAAAUUCUUGUUCUUGUCCCUUUUCCACUCCCCACACUUGUUCUCUUUGAUAAAGGACCCUUUACUUCUGGCAUCUGGAGAGAAGACACGGAACCGCAGUGGAAAGAGGAAAGGGAUUGAAGAUGAGCUACUGCAUAAUGAAUUGAGCAUAGGCGAGAUGAGCACCUGAGAACAAAGGAAAGGUGGGGAAGAGGGAAGGAGGAAGACGGGGAGAGAGGACAGAACAGCUGUACAGUAUCCAAAAGCUUGGCUGGGGAAUGAGGGAACAGAUUCGCGUGCAGCAGAAGAGCCUGCUUGAGCUGUUGCUUGACUUUGCUGCCCUCAGAUUCUGCACCAUCCCCUGUGCUUACAGAUUGUUUCAUGCUCCUGCAUCUGAAAGUAAGGAGGCCCCUGGACAUUUCAUGACUAGGAUGGACUAUGACUCAUCCCACAAACCAGAAUGAGUAGUUGUUCUACCCUUUUCACUCUACCUGCAUACAAACCCACGCACUUAGCAGUAAGAAUAGAUACAGGUUUCCCUCACCAACCACAGUUUUGAGUAUCCACGUUUAAUAUUCUAUGUACCAUUUCGGCUACCACGGUAUACAGUUUUGAGUAACCACGGUUUUCCAUGGCUAUGCAUCAGCCUGCCACCUGCCAUUUUUCCCAUAAGCUUUUUGUCUUACCAACCAAUUUUGCCAACCAUGGGAACUUUCAGGAACCUAGCCCCAGCAGUUGUCAAGGGAAACCUGUGCUCAUCUCUUAUCCAGUUCCUCUGACAGUGACAGUGCUGUGCUAGUCUUAUGCUUCACAGCAGAGGUUUGUCUUUUUUUUUUUAAAUAAGCUUUUUGGCUCUGGCCAAAGCAGACAGAAAUGAGGAUCAUAAGAAGAACUUCACCUACAUGUGUUAGCAGGCUAAGCACAUUUCUGCAGAGAAGUCCAAGAAGGAGAAACAGAGCUCCACAAUAUUUAGCUAGUCAUUAGAAAUUUAUUAAUUCUUAGGUAGCAUAUGAUUUUCUCUCUCUCUUGAGGAAUGUGCCCAUCAUUUUACUAAUUUUUUUUCUAGAUUGAGCUGAAUUUCACCAAGAUUUGAGGGUGAAAUUCAACACCCCAAGUCAGUCAUUGGCAUACAUGUGAGGACAAACCUUGGCACAACCUACAUCUUCAACUGAGGUCUUAAUUGUACUGCCUUUCAACUUGGGUGAAUUUAGCACUAGGCAUCUAAUGUAAUUGAGUUGUUUUAUUCCACUUAAUCCUUCUGUGCCCUGUCUCCCCACUUGAAAAGUAACAAAAAGUCUCCUUUUUAAAGCCCUGUGAGAGAUGGUAUACAAUGUUAAAAUCAUUUUUUUUUAAUCAUACAAAUGUGCUAUUUACACCAAUUUGCUGCAAAUUACUAUAUAUCACUCUUCAUUUCUAGAAGAGUCUCUCAUUGUAGCCCGCACCCCACAUGAGUUCUAUAUGUAUGGUCCUAUACUUUUACUCUGGAAAUAGCUGAUAUGUUGCAAGCAAACAUGCAUGUCAUCCUAAAAUGACUCAGCACAUGAUUUUGGGGUUGAGUAGACAACGGGUGCUGCCGACUGCUCUUUAUCUCUAUUUAGCAUUCAUUGGAAACAUAGAACAGAGGGUUAAGCAAUAUGUAGAUACCUGUAGGAUAAAACAGACAACAGCAAACUUCACUUUCAAGCUCAAUUUUGUUUACAGUGUUGCUAUAUUUUAAAAUUUAGGAGAAAAGGGAUUCACAGAAGUGUCCAGUUUUCCAGUCAAAGAAGAAUAACACAAGUUAAUUUUAAAAUGUAAAGGGCAUCUUCGUUCUUCUCUUCCAGAACUCUACAGGACAUUAGAACAAUAUCAUUUUCAAGGUCAAAUAUAGCCAAUCUAAAAAAGUUUUUCCAUAUGUUCCUAAGCAGACCUCAAACUAUCUACUUCUCCUUCUGGACUGUUCAUAGGGCCAAGAUAUUUAAAUACCUGUGUGUACAGAUAGUGCCACAUUCUUAUGACCUGCUUCUUAUGUUGUUCCCUAUGGUGGAGUUCCAUCUGCUGAAACCUGGAGAUAUAUGCUAAUACAUCCUUUUCCUAGCCCGGGUAGCAUGUUAUUGGCAACUGUACCUUCUAUAUCCUUUCAAAUGUUUCCUGAUAAACAUCCCCUUAUCACCUAUCAUUGUAUAUAAAUGGCCCUUCAGUUUUUGUAGAAGAAUUGCUAUUCAGGCAAACUAAGCAACACCCAGUUGCUUGCAGGUAAAACAUGCAUAGUCCUUAUAAAUAUACUGUACUAAUACUUAAUUAUGAUUUUCUUCCUGCUUCUGUGCCUUAUAGAGAGAACCUUACUUGUUUCAAGCUUGAAUCACUGACCAUCUGGUAUGUUGAACUGGAAUUUCUCUUUCCUUUCAUUGGAAACCAACAUUAAGAGGAACACAAAUACUGUACUAUUUAUAAUGUGACCCUUAAGGGGGAAAGUCUCCUUCCUCUCAUAUUGGUAAUCUAAUCUGGAUUUACUUUUGUUGGCAUUGGAUGGAUGUUUCUAUUCAUAGGGAAAAACAGGAAGGUUGGGGCAAUAGGAUAAAAAUACACCGUACUUGAUAUGUAAACUUUUUAUACAGAGCCAAUUUCCAGUGAAGCCUGUAUUUUCAUUUAUAAAGCCUUUUAUGUACUACCUGCACAGAACACACAUUAUUUGAGAAUUACAGUGUAGAAGAACUGUAUGUACUUGCAUGGAUUCACUAUGUUCAAAUAAAUGCCUUCUCUGGGGUACCAAUA